rnacentral:ncRNA from 1 species
ACCCUACUGACGGAUUGAACGACAGCCAGUAGCGAGAACUGGGUAGGGU